CCCUUAGAUGUCCUGGGCUGCACGCGCGCUACACUGAUGUGUCCAGUAAGCACCUAACCUCUUCCGAAAGGAACGGGUAACCUUUGCAAAGCACAUCGUGAUGGGGAUAGAUUAUUGCAAUUAUUAGUCUUGAACGAGGAAUUCCUAGUAAGCACAAGUCAUCAGCUUGUGUUGACUACGUCCCUGCCCUUUGUACACACCGCCCGUCGCUCCUACCGAUUGAAUGUUCCGGUGAGCUCUUCGGACUGCGCGGUCUGCAGUUUCUGCGUUCCGUGCGGAAAGUUGCGCAAACCUUAACAUUUAGAGGAAGGAGAAGUCGUAACA
rnacentral:rRNA from 1 species